rnacentral:rRNA from 1 species
CUGUUCCUACGGGGCGCAGCAGUGAGGAAUAUUGGUCAAUGGGCGGGAGCCUGAACCAGCCAAGCCGCGUGAGGGAAGAAGGUACAGCGUAUCGUAAACCUCUUUUGUCAGGGAACAAAGGCGGGGACUAGUCCCCGGAUGAGGGUACCUGAAGAAAAAGCAUCGGCUAACUCCGUGCCAGCAGCCGCGGUAAUACGGAGGAUGCGAGCGUUAUCCGGAUUUAUUGGGUUUAAAGGGUGCGCAGGCGGCCUGUUAAGUCAGCGGUAAAAGCCCGGGGCUCAACCCCGGGACUGCUCUUGGAACUG